rnacentral:rRNA from 1 species
GAACGGACGAGAAGCUUGCUUCUCUGAUGUUAGCGGCGGACGGGUGAGUAACACGUGGAUAACCUACCUAUAAGACUGGGAUAACUUCGGGAAACCGGAGCUAAUACCGGAUAAUAUUUUGAACCGCAUGGUUCAAAAGUGAAAGACGGUCUUGCUGUCACUUAUAGAUGGAUCCGCGCUGCAUUAGCUAGUUGGUAAGGUAACGGCUUACCAAGGCAACGAUGCAUAGCCGACCUGAGAGGGUGAUCGGCCACACUGGAACUGAGACACGGUCCAGACUCCUACGGGAGGCAGCAGUAGGGAAUCUUCCGCAAUGGGCGAAAGCCUGACGGAGCAACGCCGCGUGAGUGAUGAAGGUCUUCGGAUCGUAAAACUCUGUUAUUAGGGAAGAACAUAUGUGUAAGUAACUGUGCACAUCUUGACGGUACCUAAUCAGAAAGCCACGGCUAACUACGUGCCAGCAGCCGCGGUAAUACGUAGGUGGCAAGCGUUAUCCGGAAUUAUUGGGCGUAAAGCGCGCGUAGGCGGUUUUUUAAGUCUGAUGUGAAAGCCCACGGCUCAACCGUGGAGGGUCAUUGGAAACUGGAAAACUUGAGUGCAGAAGAGGAAAGUGGAAUUCCAUGUGUAGCGGUGAAAUGCGCAGAGAUAUGGAGGAACACCAGUGGCGAAGGCGACUUUCUGGUCUGUAACUGACGCUGAUGUGCGAAAGCGUGGGGAUCAAACAGGAUUAGAUACCCUGGUAGUCCACGCCGUAAACGAUGAGUGCUAAGUGUUAGGGGGUUUCCGCCCCUUAGUGCUG